GGGAUCGAAGUGUAACGGUUUGCACGACUCCCUGUCACGGAGUAGGUAGCGGGUUCAAUUCCCGUCGGUCCCGCCA
rnacentral:tRNA from 2 species